rnacentral:lncRNA from 1 species
GCCGCACGGCUUUCGCCGCCGUGGCCGCACCGCGGAAGGGGAGCGGGGGGUCCGGGCGCAGCGGUGCCGGGGGGCACGCGUGGGCACGGCUCCGCGGCCCGGAGGGGCCGUCCGCCGCGUCCGGACCCACAGCCGGCUGCUGGGACCGCAGCCCCGCACGUCGCAGCGGCAGCUGUCGGGAACGCUGAUUGCGCGUUAGUUACUGCACGCGCCGUCCCGGCUCUCGUCGUACCGGGAACGCUUCGGCUUCUCUUUGGGGGCCCCGCCGCGGGGUGCCGUGCCUCCGCCGCCGGGCACGGAGGGAGAGAUGCGCGGUCCUGCGGCCGGGCUUCCUCCCUCGGGUCACUUCAACGCUGACCCGCGCGCCGGCUUAUGGUGCCAAAGGAGCAGGCACAGCACAGCAGCGCUGGCACUCCCCAAGACAGUCCGUCUCUCCCACUACAUGUUCAAGGAAAGCAGAAAACCCAGCUCAUGGUCCGCAGCAAUAAAGGGAAUGAUGUGAACCGCCUCUCAUCCCUCCAAGCCUUCCACCGUAGAUCCAGUCCCACAGCUGCCUGGUUUUGUUGCUCUCGGAGGGUGCUGCAAUUGGCUCUGAUGGUCGCAGUUUCCACCUUUGUGUCUUAACUAAUCUUUUAGCCAUGCUGGGUCAUGCUAUCAAACGCCUUGAAGAUCAGAAGUGACGCUGUGGUUUGGCCUCCUGGCCCAAGAGGCAGAGGGUGGGUUUGAUGCCUUUGUGGUGGUCAGGGCUCCCACUGCAGUGCGCUUGUCCAGCUGGCAUUUGCCAAGUGCUGUGGGCUUCAUGCCCAGGUGUAUCACAUAGCUGUAGCCUCGCCAAGAGGUGACAAAGAUAUGACUAACUGAGGUUAGGUUGCUCCUGCCAAAAGGCAUGGCUGCUUGUGGCCAAACAGAGAACAUGGAAAACACUGGGAGUUUCACGUCACUGGGGAGUGCUCCUAAGACAUGGGCUAUGUAGAACAGCCGGGAAGAUGUUUCAGCUCAAGAAGGCUGCUCUGCAGCUUCAGUACUGUGUUCUGUAUGAUUGCCAGAGAAGGGUUUGAUUGUUCUUGAGUGUCUCAGUUCAGCUCUGCUGCUCCAGCUGUAGGUCCUGGCCUGAGAGCACAUUGUACCGGAUGCAGAACAUCAGUUUCCAUUUGGAGAGCCUUCAGCUGGCUGUGAGCUGGUCCCUACCUGAGCUUCCUCUGGAAAGGGGCAGCUGCUGGGAAUGACUGUGACAUUUGUUUUGGAUGCUCAUCUCUGAGGAGAGUGUCUGCAAGCAGUUCCUAGCCAUGGUGACUGCUUCUGCCUUCUGAGUCAAACCCCUUCCUGAUGAGACUUCAGGAAUCUGAAGGAUUUGCAUGUGUUUUGCAGUUCUGAUCUUGAGUUUCACUGUCCUGUGCUGUGUGUAAGAACAGUGCCUUGGGAAUAAAGCAACAUGGGCCUUUCCCAUCUCUUGAUCCUUUGCCUGCACCCCCUCAGUGCAGGGUGGUGCUGGACUACCCAAGGGCUGGAUGACACAGUGCUUGGUGCGUGCAUGUGAACUUGCUGCUCCCAGACAGCAUGGGGCUGUGCUGUAUUGUUUUCUCUCCAGACAAUGCAGCACUGGAUUGUAAGUAAAAAUGCAGAGCACACUGCAAUGUUUGCUCUUUAUUAAUGCACUAAGAUGCAUUUGGGUGAAGCAGAAGGCUCCUGGCUGGCUUGGUUUCAAGCUCCGUGACAGGCUUCCAUAAACACUUUGCAGCUCUCUGGGCAGGGGCAGAAGGCACGGAGAGGCUGCAGCCCCUUCACUGGCAGGGGAGGUAGGCUUGGCUGGGAGGGGUUUGGCCUUUGCCACAGACAGCCCCUUUGUUGAGAGGGGAGCUGGUGAGCAAGUGAGCGAUCCUGGGAGCUUCCCAAUGGCCGGUGGGCACUACAGGGCACUUCAGCUGCAGCUGCUGCUGCUGCGGGGCAGGAGGAAAGGAGAGUGCAUGAGCAGAGACACCCUGCUCUGCCAGCCUUUGCUUGCUGGCCUGGUAGCUUUUGUAGUCUCUCUGCACUGGGUAUCUGGCCACCUGUUUUUUAGCUGAGCAACUUGAGCUAAAAGCUGCCGGCUAUGACACAGUACCUCUGUUGCCAGAACACGCAGUUUCUUGUUCCACUUUUGAGGAAUGUAUGUGGCCGCUUACAGCAAUUACAGCUUAACCUUCCAGCUCUGAACUCUGCCUAGUAUCAGGGAAAUACCAGCUGGAGCAAAUAUCUUGACCUCUGGAUGACACAGCUGGGAGAUAACUGCGGUCUCAGCCUCAGAUGCUCUGAUUCUUGGUCACGCAGCACUUGGGCAGGCCCUCCUGCAGGCCGAGAAGGAUGGGGUGUCCAUCCCCAGAGCAUCCCUGCCAACACGGGCCGUGCUCUGAGGAGGGAGGUGACAGCGUCAGGCUGUAUGUUAUGGUGGAGAUAGGGCCCACCUCACGGCUGGGUUGGGCUGGUUCUUGUUGCACGUUUAGGUUUUUGUCUAAGGCACUUCACUGCUUUAGCCAAGCUGCAGCGGAUGAAGUUGUAAGUCUGACAGCGGACGAGUGCGGUUUGACCCUUCUGCUCUCUUUCACCUUCAGUUUGCGCUUUCCUACACGUACAGCAUUAAGGUUUGG